GGCGCGGUGCCGCUUCACAGCGGCGGCAUCGAUGGGGCGGCAUCGAGUUCACCUACAGAGAGAGCGAGAAAGAUGAUAGAGAGAGAGGUUUGAUUGUGGCGUUAAUGGAGAAGAGAAAAGAUUUUUUUUUUCUUUUUACCUUUCUCUUUUUUUCUUUCGUAGGCAGGGAUGGGAUUUUUUUUAAGAAUGGGUUUGAAGGUUCAAAAAGCUCUCUGUUUGAUUUUUUUCGAAAGGUAUUUAUGGGGUGGUUGUAACCAACCUGAGGGAGACGUGCGCAUGGAUGUGCGGGAGGUUAUGGGAUCGUGGGCGGUUAGGGGAUCGUGGGAUGAUGGAAUCGUGGGUGAUCGUGAUGGGAUUGUGGGAUGAUGGGUGGUUACGAUGAGAUUGUAGAAUGAUGGGUGAUUACGAUGAGAUUAUGGGAAUAUUGCGAAUUAAUCCUUUCUCUUUACUCAUAUUACACUUUAGUCAAAAUAAUAAAAUAUUAUAUGAUUAAAGUGGAGCAUUUUGUAAAUAUAUGAAAGGGAAUGG
rnacentral:lncRNA from 1 species